rnacentral:rRNA from 1 species
CAUAGAGACUCAGAGCUGCAUAUCAAUAAGCGGAGGAAAAGAAACUAACAAGGAUUCCCUUAGUAACGGCGAGUGAAGCGGGAAGAGCUCAAAUUUGAAAUCUUCAAGGUUCUACCUUGACGAAUUGUAGUUUAAAGAAGUGUUUUCUGUUGAAGUUUUGGUAAAAGUUCUUUGGAAUAGGACAUCAUAGAGGGUGAGAAUCCCGUAUUUGACCAUUAUUUUCCAGCUGUGUGAUACACUUUCAAAGAGUCGGAUUGUUUGGGAAUGCAGUCCAAAAUGGGUGGUAAAUUUCAUCUAAAGCUAAAUAUUGGCGAGAGACCGAUAGCGAACAAGUACCGUGAGGGAAAGAUGAAAAGAACUUUGAAAAGAGAGUUAAACAGUACGUGAAAUUGUCAAAAGGGAAGCGUUUGACACCAGUGUUGUUUUUCUCGAAAAUCAAUUACAAAGGGGAUUUUGUUUUAGGAGUUAUGACUUCAUCAGCUUUCUGCACUUUCUUUAUGUACUUUCUUAAUGCACUUUUCGGUUAACAAGUCAACAUCAAUUUCUUUUGUUGUAAAAGGGUCAUUGGAAGGUGGCUUUCUUUUCGGAGAAAGUGUUUAUAGCCUUUGGCCUCUGCAAUCGGAGAGAUUGAGGUCUGCAGCGUAGAUCCUUCGGGGUUAGAUACACUUGUGCUAAGUUAUAGCCUUUCAUAGACAACUCGUUGACUAUGAUCAGUCAUGUAGCUUACUCGCUUAUGCUAUUUUACCUACGCUUAGGAUGUUGACGAUCAGCUGAGCGCG